GACUCCGUAGCUCAGCUGGAUAGAGCAACUGCCUUCUAAGCAGUAGGUCGCAGGUUCGAAUCCUGCCGGGGUCGCCA
rnacentral:tRNA from 4 species